AGAAAUACAGCCAGCUAGGCACAUAGCCACAUUAACCACGUAACUACCACCCAGUCAGGGGUGCUUCACUUUGAAUUUUAGGAUUCAUGUAGCUAUAGAAGUGCUGUUUAGAAAGGGAAGAAAAAAAUCUCCAUAUGAAUUGUAAUUAAUUUUACUGAAAGGAUGAAGAGACAGGACAGCCGAAUUGGGGGUGGGGAGAAGCAAAAAUAUUUUUAAAUGUCCUUCUUAAGGAUGCUCAGCUGUCUUAACUCUAAGACUUAAAAGUCCUGAGACUAAAGGAUACAAAUCUAUGUAUUAUUAUUUUUAAAAACUCAGCCAAGCCCUUUCCUGCAAAUGUAAAUUUAUUUUAAUGAGAAUGGUGGCAAGCUUUAUUUGACUGGUCAAAGUUAGGGAAAAACAUUUGUCUUAGUCUGAAAAAUAAAUUCUCAACUCCCAGGAAUAUGGUUUCUUUGCAGAAAGUGGUUGGCUGGUCUGUAAUUCUUUACAGAUUAAAUCACAAUAUGAAUACAGACCCCAGCAAUGCCGAGUUUAACUCUGAGCUCAGUAGAAUCCAGGAUCCAUUGAAUUUCUCCUUUCCCUCAAUCUAGUCGUGUGUGUUUUUCUCUUCCACCACACUGGAGCUCCGUGAAUAGGGAAGGGGCUUCCAUUGUGUCCCUCUGAACUUCCAAGUCAAUGCAAUUUUUAACCACUGGCUUGUGGUACUUUGAAAAUCACCAGGGGCUGUCAGAGUUGGGUCCUCUGAAAAAUUUACAGUGCUAAAUCAGAGCAUAUGCUGGGAGGGAAAAAAUUGCUUAAGAUUGGAGUAAGUACAGUAUCUGUCUGCCCCCUAGUGUAAGAGUCCUCGCUGCCUAAAAUCCAACUUUAAAAGAAAAGGAGCCCUUAAAGGGAAACGACUUGGGGCUCACGUAGGCAUAGGAGAAUGAAACUUCUGUACAUUUUAAUCUGAAUAAUUCUUCAAGAUUGAAAAUUAUUUGACUGUGGCUUGUUUGGACUGCGCUGGGAUCUCGCUGCCUCUACGUUUCCGGAGUCUCUAGUGAAGAGAGCACAGAAUUGCUUCUAAAGUCAGCCCGGCGCGGUUGUAAUAGACAGCAAAAAGGUAAACGUUUGCCUGAAAUCCGCACGCCAGCUCCACCACCCCGCCCGAUGGACAUUUAUCCACCACACUUUCAGUAUAAAGAUAUAACUUGAGAAUAAAUUGAUAGCCAGAAUUUGGUAAGUUGCCAUAGUAGAAGAAUAUUAUGUAUUAAUCUAGAGAACAUUCAGGUACUUACAUUAUCAGCUUCAUUUGUCCUCUUCAAAGGCCUCUUCCUUGAAAAUGAGUAGGUGCAUGUUAAAAAUAAAUAAAUCCUGUACAGAAUGUAAAAGGCAUUUUUUUUAAAAAAAAAUCACAUUUAGUUUCUUGGUUAUGGAAAGUAUUAUCUUGAGGGCUUGCAAACUGUAUUGUUUGAAAACAAACUGCAUUAGUCUUGUCAUUUGGAGUACAAGGUAGGUAACAGUAAUUCCCUACCCAUCUAUUAGAAUUUGUUAUACAUUGGUUAAUUUUAUUUAAGAGAUUCCUAAAUAUAUGGCUAUGGUAAAUUGAUUGAAAUAUUGCCCUUUAAGCAUUCAAAGUAAAACUGAAACCAUUAAAGGAAAGAAAUAUUGAUUUCAGUGACAGAUGUCACACGGGGUAUUUCUUGACAGGACCACAUCACCUCAUAUGUCAAAUGUCAAAGACAAGCAGUUAAAAAAUUAAGGUAGCCUAUAUCUUUGUCUAUUAUGUAUUAACUUAUUUAGUCUCAGGGAUGCUGCAGUAUUCUGUUGCACAGUUUCUUGUUGUUGGUCACAUUUUGAAACACUCAAAAGGAUGUAAUGCCCUGAAAUUUCACCACUGGGGGAUUUUUAAAGUUGUUUGUUUGUUUGUUUGGUUUUGAUAGUCCUUUCCGAAGAUAAAUACUUAGCUUAUUUACCCAUUGAUUUUUUUCCCCCACAAGUGAUUUUGGUUAACUUAAUGGCCUUCAAUAUCAUGUAUUAUCUUGCAAAAAUCUAUAUUUCUUAUAUAAGUUGAAGUCAAAUAAUAGAUGUCUGAUCUUUCAAAGAAUGUACAGUUCAGCGUUCUUCAGUUACUGAAGAACUAAUGUUUCAUCCGCAGGGUUUGAUCCACAAAAAAGACACCCUAAUCUGCAUAUUUAUAUUUAUACUUAUAUAUGUAUGCAUUUUUGGGCAUGUGUGUGUAAGUGCCUGCAGAGGCUAUAAGAGGAGAUCCAGUACCCUGGAACCAGAGUUAUAGGAAGUUGUGAACAACCCAACUUGGGUGCUGGGAAUCAAACUCUGAUCCUCUGCAAAAGUGACAAGUGUUCUUAACAACUGAGCCAUCUCUCUAGCCCCUACUUCUUUCUAAACAAGUCUUAAAAUUGAUAUGAUGUGGUGUUGAUGAAUGUAUAAUAGGAAAGCCGUGGACUAUCCCCACUUACUCUGUAAAUGUCUUUUAUUCUUAUAUACUUUAAUGAUCAGAAUUAUUGAACCCCUUUAAAGGGCAGUAAAUAAAGUUUCUAAUUAUGAACAAGAGAUAUGAUGUUUGCUUUGAGGUUCAGUAGCACAAAAAAGUUUUCCUAAUAAAAUUGAAGCAACUCUAUCCUAGAUACAUUAAAAUAGGGCAUAUCUCAGACAUGGCUUGGGUUUAUGUACUUCUGCCCUACUGCUUCUGAUGCCUUUUAUCUUCAGUUACUGUCUUAUUUGUUAACAAAGUAAAUGUCUGAAAUUAAAAAUGUUUCCAAUGGUCUUGCUUAUAGAAGUGAAAACAUUAGUAAGUAUCAUUUAUAUUAAAAAACUAUAUAAAUUAUAUUAUUUAUUUUAAUUAAUGCUUCAUUUUAUUAAUAAUUAAAUUAACAAUAUACUUAUGUAUAUAAUCAUAUAAAUUAUAUUGUUUAUAUAAAUUAUAUUAAAUAAUUAAAUAAAAAUAUUAAGUAAUAUUUUUAUUCAGACUUGUAUGUCCAGUCAGUAAUGAGUUUUUUAUAGCCUCUUCCCUUCAAACAAAAUAAAAAAAGUAGUGCUACUUAUGGUAGCUAAAAAGAAACCCUCCCAAAACCAACCAACCAAACAAAUAAACAGGAACCCUUAGAAUUCAAUCUCUUGAAAUUAUAUGCACACUGUUUUUACAAUUGAAUUUUUAAAUUUUAAUUAAUAUUUUUUACUUAUUCACUUUACAUUCCCUUACUGUCCCCCUUCCAAUAACCUCCUCCCACAAUUCUUCCCCACAAUUGAAUUCUUAAUAAGGUUUUGUUUUAUCUCAUCUACUUACCAAUAUGGUACAGUUCUGAGUUAUGAAAUUUCUGCCUUGAAAAUCAAAUUGUAACAAUAUGCCAUCGUAGGCUUUUCUGAUGUGAAGGGAGCUUUGGAAACCAUAUCUCCAAAAUUUAGGAAAAAAAAAAAAGUGAAAAUUGGCAGGACAGGUUGGUGCACUUCACUUUUUUAGCGAUGUCAGAAAGCUUUUCUUUUAAGAAAUUACUAUUAUUGUCUUGUUCAUCAAGUGCAAAAUGUGAAAUAAUAAUGGAAGAACUACCAAAGGAAAGGUUCUCUUCCAUACUUUACCACUCAGGACCCAACAACAACAAACAAAACAAAACCUAUUCCCCACCUACCUCCAAAAGUGGCCCCCAACAUUUGGGAAGAAUUUCUGUGUAACUAGCUGGAUAACUUCCAGUCCUCUCAGUUCCUGAGCUUUUCAAAGGCAGCAGGCAAUGCCCAGUGCGAUUCAGGAAUGGACAGCCUCUAGGAGGAAACAGGGACCCCUCACUUAGCUGCAAACUUGAGAAAAGAACUGUUGAAAGUUUCCAAAGGAGGUUCGAAGAGGCAGGACAGUAAGAGCUGAUAGAACCAAUUUUAUUUCUUUCCAGGCAUUUCUAACUUUUAUGACUAUGCCCCCCGCCCUUUACUAUCUGUCUUUGUGCCUCCAGGGCCAGUGAAAGAGCAGGGCAGAUUCGAGAUUGCUUUCAGGGUUUGCCUUCUCUGAUGAUGGAUUACCAUGUCAAUUUAAACGGCAUAGGAUUAAUUUGUUUCAAUGAUUUCUCUUUAGGCUGAAUGCCAGCCGUUUUCUAUCUCUCCGCUUGCUCUUCAGAACUAGAGAGAGAGAGAGAGAGACACACACACACACAGAGAGAAAGAGAGAGAGAGAGAGAGAGAGAGAGAGAGAGAGAGAGAGAGUUUCUAUAUUUUAAGAUGAGAGACAGUAAUAGAAAUAGACAAGUUGUGUGUACUGUUGCAACAGUUAUAGGUUUGAGUCUUUUUAUCUCUGAAACAUACAGUCACUCACAUUAAAAUGAAAUUGGUCCCAACAUUUAUUCGAUAAGCACUUGUCUUGUAGAUAAUCCACUGCAGAGUGCUUUUGACAUAUAAGGAUUUAAUUUCUCUUGGACAAGUUAUUAGUACGACACAUUUAAGCUAACCACCUACAAUGAGGUUAUUGAGAUCUCUAACAACCUUAAAUGCUCAUUGCAAAAAAGAUUUUGUUUGAGGGAGGGAGACACUUUUGAGAAUUCAUAGUUUUCACAUGCAUACACACAAGCAACACAGGCAGUCAUGCAUGUUUGUGCAUGUACACAGACAGGCUCCCUAUUUCAUAUGACCACAUUCUUCAAUGCUGCUGAAAAAAAGAACCCUCCCAUUAUGCAGAUGUAUCUUAGCUUUACAAAAAUGAGAAUAUACAGACUUUUCAUUUUGGAAGGAUUUCUAAAGUACACAAGAAAAAAAAUGUCACUUAAAUUCACUUUCUCUGUGAGACCAAAUCUAUAAUGAAGCAGAAAGUGGUUCUAGAAAAGACUUAGAUACCACCCCAAAUCAAGCAACCCUCCACCCUUCACACACACUAAACUCACAGGUAGCUACAAGAUGCUGCCUGAAGAGAAAAAGUGAUUUAAGUAAAAUGGUGUGCCCUAAAGUGAUUGUUUUUAUUUCCUAGUUUGAAGAGUGCGCUUUCAGCAGACUCAGAUAGAUAGGAGAGGGAUUGCAAUCUAAGGACUGACCAUUUGGGGAAAACAUGACUGCUCCUAUCCCUUUCCCUUUUUCCCAAUGCUCUCUCCUUAGUCCAGACUCUCCCACCCCCAGGAAAUUUAGCAUCAUAGUUCAGAAUAAUAAAUUGCAUUUGAAAUCUGAAUACAAAUAGAUUGUAUAGCCUUCCCCCUUUCUCUCACCCUCUCAAUGCACAGCCACUCUUUAUUUGUGUAGCUUCCACUGUCUAAGGACAGACACAAUCAGAGUCCAAUCAAUGGCUGUCAGAACUGAGUCUAUGCAAUUUUAAUUUGUAAAUAAAUAAAUAAAUAAAUAAAGUUGUUCGUUGCUAACCUUGUGGGGAGACUGUGUAUCCCUAAGCAAAACAAAAUCUUGGGGAGUUCUCCCUGAGAAAUGAUGUUGCACAUGAGCAGGAAAUUCAGGCAAGAAAGGCUAAUUGGAGAGAGAAAGAGGGAGAGAGAGAGAGAGAGAGAGAGAGAGAGAGAGAGAGAGAGAAUUAGGUUUAAAAAGAGUGCAAUCUAGUAUCACAUUUUCACUAGUGUAACUUGAAAUGAAGGUGUCUUCGAGUUGCCAGCGAUGCCAGAACGUUUAGAUGUCGGCCACAGAUGGGAACACCUAUUGAAAUGUGUCUGAGGAAGAUUAAUAGGGCUUGUCACUGUUGGGAAAGCACUGCUUGGCUGUAACUUUCCGCAAGCCCAAGAUGAAUUACCGAUGAAUGCUCACUUAUCAACCCCAUCACUACCGUUCGACACUAAAUCAAAUUGAGAAGUUAUCUGCAAUCAGAAAUUUUCUUUUUAAAAUAGACGUAUACCUUUAAGCCCCAACUCCUUAAUAAUCCCACUCACAAAACAACCCCCCUCCCCCCCGCAGCCCUAGGUGCUUCUUCCUUGGCUUAUGCUGAAUUACAGCUCAAUAAUGAAUAUAUUUUUAAAGUUCACACACAAACGGACAUCUGGUCAGAUUGCAAAGUUUGACAGCAUUUUAAUGAGUAUGAAGGCUUCUUGGAAAUGAUCAUUUAAUAUUUCGGCAAAUGUGUUCUCUUUUACUUUUUAGAUUCCCCUGCCCCCUUAAUGGAAAAGAAACACAAGAGUGGAUUUGACAUCGUAAACCCUGUGACUGCAUAGUUAUCUAAUGAUCUCCUAUAAUGAAAUUAUGGGAAUUUUGAGUUUAGGUAGAUAACAGAAGAACAAGAUUAAAUGGAUAACGGUUCUGUAACACUCAAGAACGUGCGGACACCUUCCUGUGGGAGGAGGCUUGGGGGAAACAUGGUUUCUGGUUCCUGCUGAAGCCAGCAUGAAGGACAAGGAUUACUGCUUCCCUGAGUUGGCUUGCUUUGCCAGAGUAUCUUAAAAGGUCUUUUGAAACAAAUAAAAUACUCAGAACUGCUGUGACUGUCACAGACAGUGUCCUGUUACUGGCUUUAAACAGGGCCCCUCACGCGGAAGAAGCCCUAUAUCCUGGAGUCAGAUGUCAAUCAUCCUGGGAAGACUCACCCGAGAAUACAUGCUUAGAAGAAAACUGUUUCAAGCCUCAUUCUCUACGGAGUGGAUGUCUCUGCAUAGUCCUCCCUUUCCACAAACUCCAACACUGAAGCCCUGACACUGGGAGUCCCUGAGAGGACCUUGGAGAAGAAUCACCAAAGGGACUUACUAUGAUCCUAUGAGAAUGAUCAUCAGUGUAAAUCAAGUCAAGAGACUUAGAUGCUUUCUCCAGCACUCAGAACAGAUUUACAGAAUGUGAUGUUUUGCUGUGCACAUCCUUCAAAUUACUGCAUGGGUCUACCACUUGUGCACUGCCAAGGAAGCAGGCGGAAGCAGGCGGAAUCAGGCGGAAGCAGGCGGACUACAUUUGACGAGUGUGGGUCUAAUGCUGAAAACCAGAGAAACUUUAAUGGUUCAAACAGAAGGCAGGAGCUGUGUGUGACUAAUCAGUUCUGGUCAAGAUGUGGUCCUGCCCAUGAUCAUGGAGCCAUGAUUUUGGCUCCAGUUCCUCCCAUAAGGUGGUCUGCAAAGGUGAAAUCUCUUCUGGGGAGACAUGCUGCUUGUCUGUCUAACACUGGGGUGCCAUAUGCAGUCUUCCUCUGCCACAUCUUCCAAUUAUGAUGUUGUCUAUCAUCAAAAGGCCCAGAGAGAUGAGAUCACAUCAUGGCAGACAGAUACCACUAUAACUGACUCGUCCUGCUUGCUCCAUCUCCACACUGUUGGUUAACAGUGGACUCUCUGACUUUAACAGUCUCUGAGGAUGACUGGACAUGUGACAGAAGACUGGGAGGCCAGGAGGCUGCCCUUCCCUGCUUUGACUUUGUUCUGCCAGAAUUGAUAAGCCCAUCAAUGGCACCUUGGAAGUGCCUAGCCUCAGAGCUAGCAUUGGGCAUCUUCCUGAGCUUGUGAUCUGUUUCUUAAGGAUUUCAAAAAUGGAAGCACGUAGAGUCCUUACUAGUUGAUUCAGCGGACUGGAGGCUCCUGAUGCAGCUGCUAUCUGCAGACCUCCUGGAUUGCCCUGGGAAGGGAGUGGGAGCUCCUGCCACAGAUGGGUGGAACACCGAUGAGAAGGGCUAAAGGUGGCCAAAAAUAACAGUGCCUUCCAGAUGAGGUGACCUCAGAGCCAAGAGCAUCAUGGGCUAGUGGCCUGCCAAUCACAGGACAUCAGCAUGCACAGUGCCCAGCAUCUCCUCCAGGUUCAGCUUUGGCACCUUCCUUCAGAGGGCCCACUCCAAUCUCAGGACUUUCAGUUGGCCUUUUCAAAAGAUGAAGACCUACCUCUACAGAAAAAUGGUCCAGCUGUUUGGAUAUGGUAGCUCACUCCUCUACUGCUGCCACCCUGGAGGAGUGCCACAGCAGUUCCUGGCACUUAAUAGGUACAAAAUCAAGAAACCCUGUCUCUAAACAAACAAAUAAGCAAAGGAAAAGGAAAAUGUACUACAGUCUAUCCAGUCAUCAAGGCAAGGACCUCAAGUUAGCCAGGCUGAUUAUUUUCCUCUUUUCUCUUCUUCCCAGCCAUCUGCAAGUUCUGCAGUGCCAACUGCUUACCCCUGCCCAACUCAUCUUUUCUGUCUCCAUCUCUAUGGCCAUAACCUUUUACCUAAUAAUUUGAGGGAGGAAGGCUGGUACACUGAGACAGCACCUUGCAUCAUUUCUUUAUUAUACAUAUUGUCCAUAGUGUUGUCAGAAUGGUGUCUUAAUCAUUAAAAUGCUACUAAGAUGAAAUAAUUUCUUUGUAAACAUUACUCCUGUGGCAUUUCCAUAAUUGCCUUGAAGGCAAAACUUCUAACACAGUAUAUAUAAGGAAGACCUUUGUUAGCAUGGGCUGAGCCUGUCUUUGCAAUGACAAAUUCUUGCCAUGUACCUCACUCUACAGUUACAAGAACAUAAGAACAGCAUCCUAUGCUAUACAUGCCGAGUAACCAGCAUUUUCUACUUUACAUAUUGUUAAGCAUAUCUUUAUUACCUAUUUAGAUUUAUAUGCUUGAGCACAAAACGACUGUUUGUCAGGAAGGUAUGUUGCCUGCUAAAAGUUAGUUUAUACACUAUAUUUUGAUUCUAAAUCCAGUUAUGUUUAUAACUGAGAAUAACAUAUUAAUAUAUAAGUUAUAUAAAUAUUUUAAGUGUUGGGUGAUGGGCCUUUUGUAAACAAAUCAGUUCAGUAUUUAAGACGGAUAAAAGAUUUUUGGAUGGUGAGGUGCAUAUUUUAAUAGGUUUGGUAUAAAGAAUAGAUCUUGGCUUUGGAGCUAAGUGAAUAGAUAUUUGACGACCAGCUUUUUGGUUGGGACUGGUCCUGAUCUCCCAGGCCUAAGAUGAUGUGAGUCUGGGGAUGUCCAGUAGUGUCCUUGGAACAUUGUGUGGCUAAGUAGAGUUGGAACCCAUUAAAUUGGCCAGAAGACAUAGUGACACAGAACAGAAGGAGAGUAAACAGAGCCAUUUGGAGGGACAAGAAUGUUAGACAUGCUAAAAACAAACAAACAAACAAACAAACCUGUGCUGAGAAGUGGGAGAAGGCAUCUUGAUAGAACAAGAAGAGAAAAAGUGCCUCAGAAUGGUACAUUACAAGAGAACACAUAACGAGGAAGAAGAUGAUGAAGAUGAUGAUAGCACCCGACACACAGCAUUUACAAGAAUAAUGCCAUGGAGAUGAUGUCACCUAUAAAUUAAAAUCACAGGAUUUGUUGUUGCCAAGGCUGGUACCUGGUAAAUGAAUAGCUAUGAUGUGCUGGACCACAUGUGAUAGCCAGAAGGAAAAAGUAGAAUCACAGAAGAUAUGAGUGCUGAUUGCAAGAAACUCACCUUUUGAGAGUCAAGCUCGGACUACUUACUCGUAAAUGGAACUUACACAAACCCAGGAGACUGAUUAUCACUGUUUCUUCCCACCUCCCAGACCAUUCAAGCCUGGGUCAUCAUAGUUACCAAGGAAAGCGUGAAUCUGAUGGUGAGCAGGCGAAUCAGAAGAAAAGCUGUAACUCACACUGGCAAAUGAUUUAGAUUUCUGGAAGAAGAAAUAGAUGGAAGGACAAUGUGCCACAACCACCAAGACCCCGGAGGGAGGCUGGAGAACUUGUGCAGCAUGAAUCUGUCUGGCUAGCUCAGACUCUACAAAAGAAGUACAACUUCCUGUGAAAUGGAUGCACACUUGAGAUGAAGGGUCCACUCGGCUUGAAAAUGGGUGCUGUGAAACACCCAAGACUGAGUGUUCGGAGUCAGCUGCCAUGCCUGGUCCCUGACCUGCUCAUAGUUAGAAAUGCAUUGGGAGUCAGGAAGGUCAACUGACAUGCAAAACGAGUGGAGAAGGUAUAAAUGGAGCCUCCCUUGGGUAGUCUAACCAGGACGAAGACCACAUUAGGUACCCCCUGCUACAGAUACAUGUCUGAAUGAGUUCAAAGCCUACACUGCCAGAAGGAGUUAGCUGAAACAACUUUUGGAAGGAGAGAAUCGCUCAAUAAUUGUCAAACUACUCAAAGACAAAGGAAAAGAAAGAAUGUUGGAAGCAGCAAGGGGACCACACAUUCCUCAGUAGGAUCAACAGCUGACUUCCUCCCAGAAGUACAGAAACCGGAAGGGCAACUCUUCCCACAGUGGACAGGAAGAAAGAAAGACGAUGUAGAAAGAAUUCCUACCCAGGCAAAAGUUAUGCUGCAAAAUUAGACAAGAAAUAAAGUCAAAGCCAAUGAAAAAGGAGGGAGAAGGAGGGAAGAAAAGAAGAACCAUUAUGACAAUAGACUUUCUCUGAAAGAAGUAUUAAAGUAUGUCCUUCAUGUAGAAAUAAAAGGAUAACAGGAAGUAACUUCAUAAUGGGUAAAUGAAGCUAUACAGAUGGCUAGAAAACUUUGUCACUGGAAUGUGUUUCCCAACAUACCUUGCAGUAUUCCGACUGAUGGAUGCUAUCAGGUGCUGCCUUGAAGACCUGGUGAACAUCCUGGCAAAGUGGACAUUGCAACUUAUUUAUAGCAUUUUCUACCCACCAUGGUAUUCUGUUAUCUAUAUAUCUAUCUUCAUGUAAUUAGGUGUACAUGACAAAAAAUAAAACCCUGGUGUAUCUUCUUGUAAAAAAAGUAAGAAAGAAAAAAGAAAAAGAAAAGAAAAGAAAAGAUGUGUGUUAGUGAAUUGUAGGCUCCUUAAGAACUGGGCUAUGAUGGUAAAUCUUAAGACUUCAGAGAAGGCAUGCCAGGGAUAGAUCUUGGAGAUGGUACAACAUGGCUCAAUGUUUACUCUGUGUGUUGCUGUCUUAUCUGCCAUAAAUUUUAGUGUUCAGUGUUCCCCCCAGUCCAUGUGCCCUGGAUCAUGACUUUUGUGAGUCGGUGGAAUUUUUGAAGGUGGAGCCUAGUGGAAGGAGCUUAGGUAUUGCAGUUGUGCCCUGAAAGAGAUACUAGAAUUCCAACCCAUUCUUGUCUAUCUUCUCAGCAUCCCUGGGGUAGGUGGGGAGCUUCACCCUAGUCCAUACUCCCUCCAUGAUAUGCUGUGCACAAAGGCAAUAACAUAAGUCAUCAUGGGCUGAAACUUUUGACGUUGUGAGCCCCAGUAAAACUUUCUUCUUUAUACCUUGCUGAUCUUGUGGGGAUUUUUUGUUGUAUUUGUUUUUGUUUUGUUUUGUUUUGUUUUGUCACAAUAACAGAAAGCUGAUUCAGUAUGGUAGCUCUGGGCUCACAGUUUUGUAAUCCUAGAUCUCUAGAUUUUCUACUUCUUAAGAAGUUUGGCAAAUAAUAUCUAAUUUAAAUUUAAUAAUUUUGUUUAUUAGCUAUCAUGUCAUAAGUGUUGAGUAUCUAUGGCAGUAGUAGUGCAUUCUCCUCACAGAUGGAAGAACCUGGUUCCCAUCCUCAAUACCACCUGCCAAAAAAAGCAUGGA